rnacentral:rRNA from 1 species
AGGAUGAACGCUAGCGGCAGGCUUAAUACAUGCAAGUCGUGGGGCAGCAGGGGUAGCAAUACCCGCUGGCGACCGGCAAACGGGUGCGGAACACGUACGCAACCUUCCUUCAAGUGGGGGAUAGCCCAGGGAAACUUGGAUUAAUACCCCGUAAUAUUAUGAAAUGGCAUCAUUUUAUAAUUAUAGCUACGGCGCUUGAAGAUGGGCGUGCGGCUGAUUAGGUAGUUGGCGGGGUAACAGCCCACCAAGCCUGCGAUCAGUAACUGGUGUGAGAGCACGACCAGUCACACGGGCACUGAGACACGGGCCCGACUCCUACGGGAGGCAGCAGUAAGGAUAUUGGACAAUGGGCGCAAGCCUGAUCCAGCCAUGCCGCGUGGAUGAUGAAGGCCCUAGGGUUGUAAAGUCCUUUCGACGGGGAAGAUAAUGACGGUACCCGUAGAAGAAGCCCCGGCUAACGUUCGUGCCAGCAGCCGC